CUCGUAGACUCCUACGGGAGGCAGCAGGUGGGGAAUAUUGGACAAUGGGGGGAACCCUGAUCCAGCCAUGCCGCGUGUGUGAAGAAGGCCUUUUGGUUGUAAAGCACUUUAAGCGAGGAGGAGGCUACCUAGAUUAAUACUUUAGGAUAGUGGACGUUACUCGCAGAAUAAGCACCGGCUAACUCUGUGCCAGCAGCCGCGGUAAUACAGAGGGUGCGAGCGUUAAUCGGAUUUACUGGGCGUAAAGCGUGCGUAGGCGGCCAAUUAAGUCAAAUGUGAAAUCCCCCGAGCUUAACUUGGGAAUUGCAUUCGAUACUGGUUGGCUAGAGUAUGGGAGAGGAUGGUAGAAUUCCAGGUGUAGCGGUGAAAUGCGUAGAGAUCUGGAGGAAUACCGAUGGCGAAGGCAGCCAUCUGGCCUAAUACUGACGCUGAGGUACGAAAGCAUGGGGAGCGAACAGGAUUAGAUACCCUGGUAG
rnacentral:rRNA from 1 species